rnacentral:rRNA from 1 species
CAGCCGCCGCGGUAACACGGAGGGAGCUAGCGUUGUUCGGAAUUACUGGGCGUAAAGCGCGCGUAGGCGGUUACUCAAGUCAGAGGUGAAAGCCCGGGGCUCAACCCCGGAACUGCCUUUGAAACUAGGUGACUAGAAUCUUGGAGAGGUCAGUGGAAUUCCGAGUGUAGAGGUGAAAUUCGUAGAUAUUCGGAAGAACACCAGUGGCGAAGGCGACUGACUGGACAAGUAUUGACGCUGAGGUGCGAAAGCGUGGGGAGCAAACAGGAUUAGAUACCCCCGUAGUCCCUGUCUCUUAUAC